rnacentral:rRNA from 1 species
UACGUAGGGUGCAAGCAUUAAUCGGAUUUAUUGGGCGUAAAGGGCGUGUAGGCGGACGUAUAAGUCAGAUGUGAAAUCCCGGAGCUCAACUCCGGAACAGCAUUUGAAACUGUACAUCUAGAGGGUAGACGGAGAAAGCGGAAUUCCACAAGUAGCGGUGAAAUGCGUAGAUAUGUGGAAGAACACCAGUGGCGAAGGCGGCUUUCUAGUUUAUACCUGACGCUGAGGCGCGAAAGCAAGGGGGAGCAAACAGG